AGAUAUGAUCCAGAGUACCACGGGACACGUGAAACCCUGUGGGAAGCAGGAGGGACCACCCUCCAAGGCUAAAUACUACCUAGUGACCGAUAGCGUAUAGUACCGUGAGGGAAAGGUGAAAAGAACCCCGGGAGGGGAGUGAAAUAGAACCUGAAACCCUGCACUUACAAGCUGUGGAAGCACAUUUCUUGUGUGACCGCGUACUUUUUGUAGAACGGGCCAACGAGUUACGUUAAGUAGCAAGGUUAAGCACUUAAGGUGCGGAGCCGUAGCGAAAGCGAGUUUUAACUGAGCGUUCAGUUACUUGACGUAGACCCGAAACCGGGCGACCUACCCAUGAGCAGGAUGAAGCGAAAGUAAAAUUUCGUGGAGGUCCGAACCCACGAGCGUUGAAAAGCUCGGGGAUGACUUGUGGGUAGCGGUGAAAUUCCAAUCGAGCCCGGAGAUAGCUGGUUCUCCCCGAAAUAGCUUUAGGGCUAGCCUCAAGGUGAGAGAUACGGAGGUAGAGCACUGAAUGUCCUAGGGGGUAUUGCACCUACCGAAGACUAUCAAACUCCGAAUGCCGUCAUCUUAUACUUGGGAGUCAGACUGUGGGUGAUAAGAUUCAUAGUCGAAAGGGCAACAGCCCAGAUCGUCAGCUAAGGUCCCUAAAUGUAAGUUAAGUGGUAAAGGAUGUGGGAUUGCACAGACAACCAGGAUGUUGGCUUAGAAGCAGCCACUCAUUCAAAGAGUGCGUAAUAGCUCACUGGUCGAGUGAUCCUGCGCCGAAGAUUUCCGGGGCUAAAACUUACUACCGAAGCUACGGCAUCAGUAAUGAUGGGUAGGGGAGCUUCCCAUACGGGUUGAAGCAUGACCGUAAGGACAUGUGGACAGUAUGGGAGUGAGAAUGUUGGCAUGAGUAGCGAGAUGUGGGUGAGAAUCCCACAGGCCGUAAACCCAAGGUUUCCAGGGGAAGGUUCGUCCGCCCUGGGUUAGUCGGGACCUAAGCUGAGGCCGAAAGGCGUAGGUGAUGGACAACAGGUUGAUAUUCCUGUACUACCGAUAACCGUUUGAGAGAAGGGAUGACACAGUAGGAUAAGCUAAGCACACUGUUGGUUAUGUGUGCCCAAGCAUUGAGGCAGUCAAAGUAGGCAAAUCCGCUUUGAUAAUGCUGGGAUGUGAUGGGGAGCGAAAUUUAGUAGCGAAGUAGCUGAUUUCACACUGUCAAGAAAAGUCUCUAUCGAGGUUAAAGGUACCCGUACCGCAAACCGACACAGGUGGGUGAGGAGAGUAUCCUAAGGCCAGCGAGAGAACUGUUGUUAAGGAACUCGGCAAAAUGACCCCGUAACUUAGGGAUAAGGGGUGCCACCAUC
rnacentral:rRNA from 1 species